UACGUAGGGUGCGAGCGUUGUCCGGAAUUAUUGGGCGUAAAGGGCUCGUAGGCGGUUUGUCGCGUCGGGAGUGAAAACGCCGUGCUUAACACGGCGCUUGCUUUCGAUACGGGCAGACUAGAGGUAUUCAGGGGAGAACGGAAUUCCUGGUGUAGCGGUGAAAUGCGCAGAUAUCAGGAGGAACACCGGUGGCGAAGGCGGUUCUCUGGGAAUGACCUGACGCUGAGGAGCGAAAGUGCGGGGAGCGAACAGG
rnacentral:rRNA from 1 species